UGGGGAAUAUUGCGCAAUGGGCGAAAGCCUGACGCAGCGACGCCGCGUGUGGGAUGAAGGUCUUCGGAUUGUAAACCACUGUCGGGAGGGACGAAUGCGCCGCAAGGCGAGUGACGGUACCUCCAAAGGAAGCACCGGCUAACUCUGUG
rnacentral:rRNA from 1 species